CCUCCCGGGCAUGGCGACUCUCCCCAGUUGACCAGGCACCUCUUCGUCCUUUGGACCCGUACGCCUCCGCUUCCUCGGGCGUGUCCGCCGGCCAUUUGGACGCCGUCAAACCGGUUGGCCGUGUCCGGGUAAUCUCCGCGCCCCUCCUCCAAAUGGCCAAACCCUACCUUGUUGUAGCUAGCCUACCCCUCCAGACACCAUUGUCUUCCUGGUCAGUCCCGCCCACUACUCGUCUCAUCAGGUAACACUUUGUAUAUGGCUGUCAACAAGGAAACUCUAGUCAGACUUUACAUGCAAAGCUAGCCUUAACACAACUUUCUGCUCCGAUAAGUUUAGCAACACAUAAAUGCUGACUACUUGUCUAUGGAUUUCAAUUAACCCCUAAUAUGUAUAUAUUUUUAUUAACAAAGCGAUGAAACUGUAAAUUUCACUAUGUGUAGACUACUCUUUUACCAUACCCGUUCCAUCAUUCUGAUAUGUAUAUAUUUUUAUUAAUAAAGCAAAGUUGUAUAUAUUGCAUUAAAUGUGAUUCAGGUGUCGAUGAUUGAAGCAUACCUGCGAGCUAACAAAAUGUUUGUGGACAAGCAUGAGCCUAAGACGGAACGAGUUUUCUCUUCAUAUCUGGAGCUGGACCUUAGUGAGGUGGAGCCUUGCGUUUUAGGCCCCAAAAGUCCUCAUGAUCGUGUCCCUUUGAAGGAAAUGAAGUCAGACUGGCAUGCUUGCCUGGACAACGAAGUUGGUUUCAAGGGCUAUGCGGUGCCAAAGGAACAACAAGGCAAAGUUGUGAAACUCGACUUCCAUGGAAGGCCAGCUGAAAUCAAGCAUGGCAGUGUUGUUCUUGCAACAAUAUGUAGCUCCACAAACACAUCAAAUCCCAUCGUCAUGAUUGGUGCUGGCCUUGUGGCAAAGAAAGCCUACGAAUUGGGCCUUGAGGUGAAGCCAUGGGUAAAGACAAGCCUUACCCCUGGAUCUGUGGUUGCUACCGAGUACUUGAAACAUAGUGGCCUUCAAGAUUAUCUAAACCAGCAAGGGUUCCAUGUCGCUGCGCAUGGCUGUGCCACUUGUGUGGGCAACUCUGGUGACCUGGAUGGAUCUGUAUCCGCUGCUAUCACAGAAAAUGUAGGGCAUUAUCGAUGUUUUUUGUAG